rnacentral:lncRNA from 1 species
ACUAUCUGAAGCCUUGCAUACAGGAAAAAAAAAAAAACGCAAAGAAGUCUGGGGCACAUCAAGUGUCUUAUAUAUGAAAAGCAGCCUUGUCACUGUGAAGAUAGCUAAUGCUGAAAGCAGAGAAUUAUUUUUUCUUUGUUUUGUUUUGUUUUGUUUUGUUUUGUUUUGUAUUGAAACAGGGUUUCUCUGUGAAACAGUCCUGGCUGUCCUGGAAUUCACUCUGUAGACAAGGCUGGCCUGGAAUUCACAGAGGUCUGCCUGCCUCUGCCUCACAAGGGUUGGAAUUAAAGGCAUGUGCCACCGCCACCUGGCUCCAGAUUUCUUUUUUCAACUCAUCACUGUGUUUCUGCCUAAAAGACCCAUCACAAGAAAUAGAUUAUCAUAGAAAAGGAGCAACAUUUACUUAAUGUCUGCUUGUGGUCACUAGCAAAUGAAAGGACAACGUCACCACUCUGGCUCUGAAAGGAUUGGUGUAUUACACUUUGUUAAGCUAUACUUACAUCUGGGAAUCUCCGAUGCCAAAGCCAAUCUUGGGACUGCUGAGUUUAUGUAAGGUUUGAAAACUAUAGAUUCAUUCCUGCUGCCUUCUAUCGGUUGCACAUAGAUCACAACUCAACCCAACUUCAAGGGGAAGGAACAUGGAUAUACCUCAACUGGUGUAAGGAUCUUCCAUCUCACGGCAGCAAUUAAAUGAUCAUCAAGGUGGAAAAAGGCCAUGAUCUUUGGUAUCAUUUAGGAGAAAUGAAGAACUUCCAAGAAUCUCACCUUUGCCCGAAAGUGACCCCGGAACUUAUACAGUGGGUACACCGUCCAGAGAGAAGCAGAAAGUUGGAAAGAAUCCAGCCUCUUUCUAUUUCCACUACUGUAUAUUGAAUUAAACAUUGUUAUUUGGAUCUAAAAAGUCCCCCAAAGCCCAUGGUUGAAGACUUCAUAUUGAUAGUAUGGGACUCGUUGGAGAUUUUACACUCCCUAGGAGGAGGGACCUGCUGGGAAGUCAUCUAAUCAUUGGCAACAUGGCAUUGAAGAGUAUAGUGGGACUCUGGCCCCCCCUCUUGUUUCUUUGCUUUUCAGCUACUUUGAAGAAGCUUCCUCUAUCAUACUCCUUAUCAUACACUGCCUCAUCACAGGCCACAAAUCAUUGGACACUCCUGAAGCCAUGAGCCAAAAUGAAUCUCUCCUCUUGGUCAGCUCUAGUAGUUUGUUACAGUAUUGGGAACCUAAUCAGCACAGAAACCAUCAUUGCUAGAUAAUAUAUAAAGAUGUAAUAUUCUCAUAUUAUUGAAUAGGGGUUUGUGUUAAUAAGAGAGCAAUUAUGACUUUAAAGAAUACUUUCAAGAAAAAUUGAAGAAUUUUUUUUUCUGGCAUGUGCUUCAGUCUUUUAUUUACCAAGUCAACCAUACUCUGUGGUCAACCUAAGUUCUUCAUCCCACAUAUAUCUGUUAGAAAAUGUUGAGAUUCUUUUGAUGGUUAUGUGAUAGCUAGUAAUUACUGGCAUUUAAUACAUCUUUUUCUUAAUUAAAAACAAUUAAAUGGGC